ensembl:lncRNA
AAGCAAGAAAACAUUGAAAUACAAGGAAUGCUGCGAACACUUGGCUGCAGAAAAGAAGACAGACCGGAACUCACAGACCACUUCAAGACUGGGUUUCCAUUCUGCGGUCGACAAAUGCUCCAGUGUGCAAGCUUUUCUUCAGUUCCCGCACCUGCAGAGACGUGGCCCAAGUGACCUAGUAUUUCAGAGGGAGAAGGAGAAUGUGGCAGAGAGAGAAAACUGCUCUUCAAAAGGAAGCCGUCGUUAAGCUAAGAUGCACAAAGAGCAAUUGUGAAUUUGUGUUUAGGGACCUAGAAUUCUCACCACUACCCUGAUGGAAUAUAAAGGUGAGAGGUAUUUUACUGAUGUGCUUUUCCUUUAAAAUAAAUUGCAGUGUCUAAUGCUAAUGUAAAAACAUGAUACACAUUUUCAACUCCAUUUAGAUUUUUUGUUACUGACAAAAAUAGAAAACUCACUGAUGCCCUAAAAUAUCUCCCUGUGGUUCAGGCAAUAUCUUCUAGGAUAAGUUUUUCAUUAUGAAUUUCAAACUCUUGAAAGCAUUAAAGACAAAGGCCCCUCUAUUCCAAUGGGAAUGUAGAAAAUAUG